AUUGAACGCUGGCGGCAUGCCUUACACAUGCAAGUCGAACGGUAACAGGUCUUCGGAUGCUGACGAGUGGCGAACGGGUGAGUAAUACGUCGGAACGUGCCUAGUAGUGGGGGAUAACUACUCGAAAGAGUGGCUAAUACCGCAUGAGAUCUACGGAUGAAAGCAGGGGAUCGCAAGACCUUGUGCUACUAGAGCGGCCGAUGGCAGAUUAGGUAGUUGGUGGGAUAAAAGCUUACCAAGCCGACGAUCUGUAACUGGUCUGAGAGGACGAUCAGCCACACUGGGACUGAGACACGGCCCAGACUCCUACGGGAGGCAGCAGUGGGGAAUUUUGGACAAUGGGCGCAAGCCUGAUCCAGCAAUGCCGCGUGCAGGAUGAAGGCCUUCGGGUUGUAAACUGCUUUUGUACGGAACGAAAAGCCCUGGGUUAAUACCCUGGGGUCAUGACGGUACCGUAAGAAUAAGCACCGGCUAACUACGUGCCAGCAGCCGCGGUAAUAC
rnacentral:rRNA from 1 species